rnacentral:rRNA from 1 species
AUUGAACGCUGGCGGCAGGCCUAACACAUGCAAGUCGAACGAGUGGCGGACGGGUGAGUAAUGUCUGGGAAACUGCACGAUGGAGGGGGAUAACUACUGGAAACGGUAGCUAAUACCGCAUACCAUCGGAUGUGCCCAGAUGGGAUUAGCUAGUAGGUGGGGUAACGGCUCACCUAGGCGACGAUCCCUAGAUGGUCUGAGGGGAUGACCAGCCACACUGGAACGUGGACACGGGCCCAGCUCCUAAGGGGGGAAGGAGGGGGGAAAUUUGCCACAUGGGGGAAAGGCGGGUUCGGCCAUGCCGGGGUGAUUAAGAAGGCCUUUGGGUUGUUAAGGACCUUCAUGGGGGAAGCGUUAAUCGCAGAAGAAGCACCGGCUAACUCCCGGCCAGCAGCCGCGGUAAUUC